CCUACGGGGGGCAGCAGUGGGGAAUAUUGGACAAUGGGGGGAACCCUGAUCCAGCCAUGCCGCGUGUGUGAAGAAGGCCCUCGGGUUGUAAAGCACUUUCAGUGAGGAAGAACGCCUAGUGGUUAAUACCCAUCAGGAAAGACAUCACUCACAGAAGAAGCACCGGCUAACUCCGUGCCAGCAGCCGCGGUAAUACGGAGGGUGCGAGCGUUAAUCGGAAUUACUGGGCGUAAAGCGCGCGUAGGUGGCUUGAUAAGCCGGUUGUGAAAGCCCCGGGCUCAACCUGGGAACGGCAUCCGGAACUGUCAAGCUAGAGUGCAGGAGAGGAAGGUAGAAUUCCCGGUGUAGCGGUGAAAUGCGUAGAGAUCGGGAGGAAUACCAGUGGCGAAGGUGGCCUUCUGGACUGACACUGACACUGAGGUGCGAAAGCGUGGGUAGCAAACAGGAUUAGAUACCCGAGUAGUC
rnacentral:rRNA from 1 species